GAUUCAAUUAGUGUAUUCUUCCUUACACACACAACCUGACCAUGGCUUCACAAAUCUGCAAGUCGUGGGGAAGGACACUAGGAAUGAAUGAUCCAAACUAACUGGGGCAUUAUUGUACCUCACGCAUGACCUACAAGUUUUGUGGUGAGAAAAAUUAAAUUACAUUAUUAUGGAAUGAAUGUGGAUGACAAGAGUAGCAGGACAACACUAUAUCAGAGAGUGUAUAUAGGAAACAUGGUCACAGGCAACAUUAAUUUAUUUGACUUUUUUUUUUGUGUGUGUGGGGGGAGAUUCAAAUGCUGUUGAAGAUUUUCUAGGUUAUAUUGGAGUUGAAGUUCAGAUAACAACUUCCCAUCAGUAUUUUUUGGGGCACCUUUGGAAGAUUAUCAUAGGGAAACAGCGUUUCAAAGUAAGAAGAACUAUGGAUAUUAAGGCAUGAGUUCAAGUUCUUCUCUUUGUUUUAUCCACAUAUAUGAUUAGUCAUGUAAU